UACGUAGGGGGCAAGCGUUGUCCGGAUUUAUUGGGCGUAAAGAGCGUGUAGGCGGCCAGGUAGGUCUGCUGUGAAAACUCGAGGCUCAACCUCGAGACGCCGGCGGAAACCAUCUGGCUAGAGUCCGGAAGAGGAGAGUGGAAUUCCUGGUGUAGCGGUGAAAUGCGCAGAUAUCAGGAAGAACACCCGUGGCGAAGGCGGCUCUCUGGGACGGUACUGACGCUGAGACGCGAAAGCGUGGGGAGCAAACAGG
rnacentral:rRNA from 1 species